AUUGAACGCUGGCGGCAGGCCUAACACAUGCAAGUCGAGCGGAUGAAGGGAGCUUGCUCCUGGAUUCAGCGGCGGACGGGUGAGUAAUGCCUAUGAAUCUGCCUGAUAGUGGGGGAUAACGUCCGGAAACGGGCGCUAAUACUGCAUACGUCCUGAGGGAGAAAGUGGGGGAGCUUCGGACCUCUCGCUAUCAUAUGAGCCUAGGUCGGAUUAGCUAGUUGGUGGGGUAAAGGGCUACCAAGGCGACGAUCCGUAACUGGUCUGAGAGGAUGAUCAGUCACACUGGAACUGAGACACGGUCCAGACUCCUACGGGAGGCAGCAGUGGGGAAUAUUGGACAAUGGGCGAAAGCCUGAUCCAGCCAUGCCGCGUGUGUGAAGAAGGUCUUCGGAUUGUAAAGCACUUUAAGUUGGGAGGAAGGGCAGUAAGUUAAUACCUGGCUGUUUUGACGGUACCAACAGAAUAAGCACCGGCUAACUUCGUG
rnacentral:rRNA from 1 species